UACGUAUGGUGCAAGCGUUAUCCGGAUUUACUGGGCGUAAAGGGAGCGCAGGCGGCGCGCCAAGUCUGAUGUGAAACCCCGGGGCUCAACCCCGGGCAUGCAUUGGAAACUGGCGGGCUGGAGUGCCGGAGAGGUAAGCGGAAUUCCUAGUGUAGCGGUGAAAUGCGUAGAUAUUAGGAGGAACACCAGUGGCGAAGGCGGCUUACUGGACGGCAACUGACACUGAGGCACGAAAGCGUGGGGAGCAAACAGG
rnacentral:rRNA from 1 species